UACGAAGGGGGCUAGCGUUGCUCGGAAUCACUGGGCGUAAAGGGUGCGUAGGCGGGGCCUUAAGUCAGGGGUGAAAUCCUGGAGCUCAACUCCAGAACUGCCUUUGAUACUGAAGAUCUUGAGUUCGGGAGAGGUGAGUGGAACUGCGAGUGUAGAGGUGAAAUUCGUAGAUAUUCGCAAGAACACCAGUGGCGAAGGCGGCUCACUGGCCCGAUACUGACGCUGAGGCACGAAAGCGUGGGGAGCAAACAGG
rnacentral:rRNA from 1 species